CUUGAGAAUUUGGCCUCUGUCCAUGUCUAAUUAUUAAUUCCAAUAAUUGAGAUGGACAGAGCCCAAAUUCUCAAG
rfam:Glycine soja cultivar W05 scaffold463_1, whole genome shotgun sequence.